rnacentral:rRNA from 1 species
CACGGGGGGAGCAAGCGUUGUUCGGAUUCAUUGGGCGUAAAGGGCUCGUAGGUGGCUUUGUAAGUCGGAGGUGAAAUCCCACGGCUCAACCGUGGACACGCCUUCGAAACUGUGAAGCUUGAGGCUGGGAGAGGAGAUCGGAAUUCCUGGUGUAGCGGUGAAAUGCGUAGAUAUCGGGAGGAAUACCAGUGGCGAAGGCGGCCUGCUGGGCCACGACCGACACUGAGGUGCGAAAGCGUGGGGAGCGAACCGG